GAUGAACGCUGGCGGCGUGCCUAACACAUGCAAGUCGAACGGAGAUUUAACGCUGACGAGACUUCGGUCAAAUCUUGUUAAAUCUUAGUGGCGGACGGGUGAGUAGCGCGUGGGCAACCUGCCUCAUACUGGGGGAUAGCAGUUGGAAACGACUGAUAAUACCGCAUAAGCGCACGAGAUCGCAUGAUCUAGUGUGAAAAACUCCGGUGGUAUGAGAUGGGCCCGCGUCAGAUUAGCUAGUUGGUAAGGUAACGGCUUACCAAGGCGACGAUCUGUAGCCGGACUGAGAGGUCGGACGGCCACAUUGGGACUGAGACACGGCCCAAACUCCUACGGGAGGCAGCAGUGGGGGAUAUUGCACAAUGGAGGAAACUCUGAUGCAGCGACGCCGCGUGAGUGAAGAAGUAUUUCGGUAUGUAAAGCUCUAUCAGCUGGGAAGAAAGGCUCGUAAGAGAGAUGACGGUACCUGACUAAGAAGCCCCGGCUAACUACGUGCCAGCAGCCGCGGUAAUACGUAGGGGGCAAGCGUUAUCCGGAUUUACUGGGUGUAAAGGGAGCGCAGACGGUUAUGCAAGUCUGAAGUGAAACCCCACGGCUCAACCGUGGGCUUGCUUUGGAAACUGUAUAACUAGAGUACUGGAGAGGUAAGCGGAAUUCCUAGUGUAGCGGUGAAAUGCGUAGAUAUUAGGAGGAACAUCGGUGGCGAAGGCGGCUUACUGGACAGCAACUGACGUUGAGGCUCGAAGGCGUGGGGAGCAAACA
rnacentral:rRNA from 1 species